GAUGAACGCUGGCUGCGUGCUUAACACAUGCAAGUCGAACGGAAAGGCCUGUACUUGUACAGGUACUCGAGUGGCGAACGGGUGAGUAACACGUGGGUGAUCUGCCCUGCACUGUGGGAUAAGCCCGGGAAACUGGGUCUAAUACCAUAUAGGACCACUUCUUGGAUGUUGUGGUGGAAAGCUUUUGCGGUGUGGGAUGAGCCUGCGGCCUAUCAGCUUGUUGGUGGGGUAAUGGCCUACCAAGGCGGCGACGGGUAUCCGGCCUGAGAGGGUGUACGGACACAUUGGGACUGAGAUACGGCCCAGACUCCUACGGGAGGCAGCAGUGGGGAAUAUUGCACAAUGGGCGCAAGCCUGAUGCAGCGACGCCGCGUGGGGGAUGACGGCCUUCGGGUUGUAAACUCCUUUCGCUAUCGACGAAGCCACCUUGGGUGGUGACGGUAGGUAGAUAAGAAGCACCGGCUAACUACGUGCCAGCAGCCGCGGUAAUACGUAGGGUGCAAGCGUUGUCCGGAAUUACUGGGCGUAAAGAGCUCGUAGGUGGUUUGUCGCGUCGUCUGUGAAUCCCGGGGCUUAACUUCGGGCGUGCAGGCGAUACGGGCAUAACUUGAGUGCUGUAGGGGGGACUGGAAUUCCUGGUGUAGCGGUGAAAUGCGCAGAUAUCAGGAGGAACACCGAUGGCGAAGGCAGGUCUCUGGGCAGUAACUGACGCUGAGGAGCGAAAGCAUGGGUAGCGAACAGGAUUAGAUACCCUGGUAGUCCAUGCCGUAAACGGUGGGCGCUAGGUGUAGGGGGCUUCCACGUCUUCUGUGCCGUAGCUAACGCAUUAAGCGCCCCGCCUGGGGAGUACGGCCGCAAGGCUAAAACUCAAAGGAAUUGACGGGGGCCCGCACAAGCGGCGGAGCAUGUGGAUUAAUUCGAUGCAACGCGAAGAACCUUACCUGGGCUUGACAUAUACAGGAUUGGGCUAGAGAUAGUUCGUCCCUUGUGGUCUGUAUACAGGUGGUGCAUGGUUGUCGUCAGCUCGUGUCGUGAGAUGUUGGGUUAAGUCCCGCAACGAGCGCAACCCUUGUCUUAUGUUGCCAGCACGUGAUGGUGGGGACUCAUGAGAAACUGCCGGGGUUAACUCGGAGGAAGGUGGGGAUGACGUCAAAUCAUCAUGCCCCUUAUGUCCAGGGCUUCACACAUGCUACAAUGGUCGAUACAAUGGGCAGCGACAUCGUGAGGUGAAGCGAAUCCCUGUAAGUCGGCCUUAGUUCGGAUUGGGGUCUGCAACUCGACCCCAUGAAGUCGGAGUCGCUAGUAAUCGCAGAUCAGCAAAGCUGCGGUGAAUACGUUCCCGGGCCU
rnacentral:rRNA from 1 species